rnacentral:snRNA from 1 species
GUGCUCGCUUCGGCAGCUCAUAUACUAAAAUUGGAAUGAUACAGAGAAGAUUAGUAUGUCCUCUGUGCAAGGACACGCAAAUUCUUGAAGCGUUCCAUAUCUAA